rnacentral:rRNA from 1 species
GUCCACGCUGUAAACGAUGUGCACUAGGCGUGGGGCCCGUACGGGUUCUGUGCCGUAGUUAACGUGUUAAGUGCACCGCCUGGGGAGUAUGCUCGCAAGGGUGAAACUCAAAGGAAUUGACGGGGGCCCCGCACAAGCGGUGGAGCAUGUGGUUUAAUUCGAUGGUACACGAGGAACCUUACCAGGGCUUGACAUGUGCGUGAAUGUUCACGAGAGUGGGCAGCCCCGCAAGGGGCGCGCACACAGGUGCUGCAUGGCUGUCGU